rnacentral:rRNA from 1 species
UACGUAGGGUGCAAGCGUUGUCCGGAAUUAUUGGGCGUAAAGAGCUCGUAGGCGGUUUGUUGCGUCGGCUGUGAAAUCCCGGGGCUUAACCCCGGGCGUGCAGUGGAUACGGGCAGGCUGGAGGCAGGCAGGGGAGAACGGAAUUCCCGGUGUAGCGGUGAAAUGCGCAGAUAUCGGGAGGAACACCGGUGGCGAAGGCGGUUCUCUGGGCCUGUACUGACGCUGAGGAGCGAAAGCGUGGGGAGCGAACAGG